rnacentral:rRNA from 1 species
UUUCGUGAACUUAAGGGCAAUUGGUGGAUGCCUUGACUCAAAAGGCCGAUGAAGGACGUGGCGUAGCUGCGAUAAGCCUCGGGGAGCCGUGUAGCAGGCUUUGAUCCGGGGAUUUCCGAAUGGAGAAAUCUAAUCUCGUAAACCGAGAUUGUCUUGGAGGUUGGUAACUUCAAGAAGGGAACCUGCCGAAGUAAAACAUUUCAGUAAGCAGAGGAAAAGAAAGUAAAAACGUGUCUCACUUUCGUUCGACACAAAAUUUCUAAUUUCUAAUUGAUCUAAUUUCUAAAAUUUUUAGGAAUUAGGAAUUAGUCAUUAGGAAUUAGCGGCGAGCGACAGCGAGGCGUGUUCAUUCCCUUAGUAGCGGCGAGCGAACAGGGAGCAGCUCAAACCGAUUGGGCAGUAUUUCCAUAUUGAACAAUCGGGGUUGUAGGAUGGAUUAUGCGUAAGCAAGGACACAAGUUUUAGUUAGCUGAAUGUCUCUGGAAAGAGCAACUAUAGAAGGUGAUAGUCCUGUAAGCGAAAAUUAACUCUUAGUUCUUAUCCAUUCCUGAGUAGCCCG